rnacentral:rRNA from 1 species
GACGAACGCUGGCGGCGUGCUUAACACAUGCAAGUCGAACGGUGACGAGGAGCUUGCUCCUCCGAUCAGUGGCGAACGGGUGAGUAACACGUGAGCAACCUGCCCCUCACUCUGGGAUAACAGUUGGAAACAGCUGCUAAUACCGGAUACGACACAGACAGGCAUCUGUACUGUGUGGAAAGUUUUUCGGUGAGGGAUGGGCUCGCGGCCUAUCAGUUUGUUGGUGGGGUAAUGGCCUACCAAGACGACGACGGGUAGCCGGCCUGAGAGGGCGACCGGCCAACGACUGGGACUGAGACACGGCCCAGACUCCUACGGGAGGCAGCAGUGGGGAAUAUUGGACAAUGGGCGAAAGCCUGAUCCAGCAAUGCCGCGUGAGUGAUGAAGGCCCUAGGGUUGUAAAGCACUUUUGGCGGGAACGAAACGGCGCUUUCUAAUACAGAGUGCUAAUGACGGUACCCGCAGAAUAAGCACCGGCUAACUACGUGCCAGCAGCCG